AUUUUGCAUUUCCCGAGACACCUUGGCCCGCCAUUCCCCCGUCCUGUGCCUGUAAAAACUCCAGGCCCUAGAAGGCACACACGCACAAGUGGCUGGACUUCGUGAGGAAUUCAUAGGGGAAGAAGAUGCAAGUGGCUGGUCAUGGAGAGGACUUUUUGACGAGCGCCGGCAAAAGAGCACAGCGAAGAAAUCCCAGGAUACGGAAAGCCCUCUGUACUUGCAACAAGAGUCUCACUGUGUCAGCCAGGCUGGAGUGGCAUGAUCUUG
rnacentral:lncRNA from 10 species